rnacentral:misc_RNA from 1 species
GAAACUCAAAGCCACACCCAGUUGUGCUGUUAACGUGACAACAAAUGAAAAUUACAAUUCGGAUAACAUUGUGUCAUAGUUUCUGUUCAGUUAGCCAUGAGCAAAGCACAAACUAGAAUCAUCCUCAAUGCCUCAAUUUCUUUUUUAAAAUAUACUUAUAAUUGUUUAUGUGGCAUGAAAUCGCAAUGUUACUCUAUAAUUUCUCCUCCCUUAAUCUUCUUUCUUUCAUUAUUUUU